UACGUAGGGUGCAAGCGUUGUCCGGAAUUAUUGGGCGUAAAGAGCUCGUAGGCGGUUUGUCGCGUCGGCUGUGAAAACCUGGGGCUCAACCCCGGGCCUGCAGCCGAUACGGGCAAGCUAGAAUUCGGUAGGGGAGACUGGAAUUUCUGGUGUAGCGGUGAAAUGCGCAGAUAUCAGGAGGAACACCGGUGGCGAAGGCGGGUCUCUGGGCCGAUAUUGACGCUGAGGAGCGAAAGCGUGGGGAGCAAACAGG
rnacentral:rRNA from 1 species